GGCCUGGUGGUGAAAUGGUAUCACAUCCCUACUUUAUGCCAUGGAUCCAGAUAGUUUCUAGGGAAGUUCCUUGUUCGAAUCAAGGUCAUGGCCG